UGGUGGUGCGAGCUGUCUGGUUGAUUCCGUUAACGAGCGAGACCUUUGCUGCAUACUAGAAAGACUGAGAUAUUGCGUCAAGGCUGUAGCGGACAUAUGAGGUCAUCCCUCGGGACCCUUUUAUGCAUCGGCUGCAGUUGCUUUUCUCCGGUCGUAUCUUCUUUGCGGGACUAAUGUGGAAAACACAUUGGAAGUUGGAGGCAAAAACA
rnacentral:rRNA from 1 species